rnacentral:rRNA from 1 species
UACGUAGGCAGCGAGCGUUGUUCGGAGUUACUGGGCGUAAAGGGUGUGUAGGCGGUUUUCUAAGUCUGGUGCGAAAUCUCCCGGCUCAACUGGGAGGGUGCGCCGAAAACUGGAAGGCUAGAGUGCGGGAUGGGUAAGUGGAAUUCCUGGUGUAGCGGUGAAAUGCGUAGAUAUCUGGAGGAACACCGGUGGCGAAGGCGGCGUCCUGGGUAGAUACUGACGCUGAGGUGCGAAAGCGUGGGGAGCAAACAGG